rnacentral:rRNA from 1 species
GACAGAGGUGCCGAGCGUUAGGCGGAAUCACUGGGCUUAAAGCGUGUGUAGGCGGAUCGUUAAGUACCUUGUGAAAUCCCACGGCUCAACCGUGGAACUGCUGGGUAUACUGGCGGUCUUGAGCCACCUAGGGGCGAGCGGAACAAGCGGUGGAGCGGUGAAAUGCGUAGAUAUCGGAAGGAACAUCAGUGGCGAAAGCGGCUUCCUGGACCAGCACCGACGUUCAGGCACGAAAGCGUGGGGAGCAAACGGG